rnacentral:rRNA from 1 species
GGAUUAGAUACCCUGGUAGUCCACGCCCUAAACGAUGUACACUAGUUGUUGCGAUGCUAGACAUUGCAGUAAUGCAGUUAACACAUUAAGUGUACCGCCUGGGGAGUACGGUCGCAAGAUUAAAACUCAAAGGAAUAGACGGGGACCCGCACAAGCGGUGGAGCAUGUGGUUUAAUUCGACAUACGCGAAGAACCUUACCUGGGCUUGACAUAGUAAGAACAAUUUAGAGAUAGAUUGGUGUCUGCUUGCAGAAACUUAUAUACAGGUGCUGCACGGCUGUCGUCAGCUCGUGCCG